UUUUUUUUUUUUUUCUUGGCACAUAGCUAUUUUGAAGAAAAUUGACUAUAUUACACUUUCUAUUUUUUAGUUUCAGUAUGUAAUUACCAAUGUUAAAGACAGAUUUACAAGCUGUCAAGCAGGUGGAUGGUAGGUUUAACGUCUUACAGUAGACACGUGAAUUCAGACUGAAAUUCUUGUCCACUUCACCUAGCUCUGCAAGAACGGAAGAGAUUGGGAUAAAGCAGAACUACCCUUGGAAUGCACUUCUAGAUUCAUUCCAAUUUGCUAUUGUUGUUGUUGGGUUUAAUGUGUAAACUGAUCUGCCUGGGCUGCUAUAACAGAAUAGCACAGACCGGGUGGCUUAAGCAACAGACAUUUAGUUUUUCACAGUUCUGGAUGCUGGAAGCCCAUGAUCAAAGUGAUGGAAAUUUGAUUACUGGUGAGGACUCUUUUCCUAGCUUGUAGAUCUUUGCUUUCUUCCUAUGUCCUUACUGGGACUUUCUUCAGCGUGUGUGUGUAGAGAGAAAGUGUACACCCUCUCUGGUGUCUCUUCUUAAAAAUGACACUAAGCCUAUGUCUGUGAGUCUUAGGGUUACCAAAGGGGAAAGGGGGAGAGAAAUUAGGAGUUUGGGAUUAACUGAUACACACUGCUGUAUGUAAAAUCAAUAAACAACAAGAAUCUACUAUGUAGCACAGGGAACUAUAUUCAAUAUGUUGUAGUGACCUAUAAUGAAAAGGAAUCUGAAAAAGAAUAUAUAUGCACAUAUCACUUUGCUGCACACCGAAACUAAUACAACAUUGUACAUCAACUAUACUUCAUCUUUUUUUGAAGGAUACUAAUCCUAACAAAUCAGGGCCCUGCCUUUGUGACUGCAUUUAGCCUUAAUUACCUCAUUAGAGGCCACACUGGAGGUUACAGCUUCAAUGUAUGAAUUUGGAAGGGCACAAACAUUCAGUCUAUAACAAUAGACAAGCCUCAACAGCCCCGACAUGUCCUGGGUUUUUCAGGAGGCUGUCUCAAAAGCCCUAUUAACAUCGUGUCGUGGAUCCACGUUGGUACCUAUAGUCUACAUGUAAAUACACAUGUCCAGAUUAGAGAUAUUUUUUUUUUGUCUUUUUAGGGGUGCACCCAUGGCAUACGGUGGUUCCCAAGUUCAGGGUCCAAUCAGAGCUGUAGCUGCCGGCCACAGCAACAUGGGAUCUGAGCCAAGUCUGCAACCUACAUGGCAGCUCAUGGCAAUGGCAACGCCAGAUCCUUAACCCACUGAGCAAGGCCAGGGAUCGAACCCAAAUCCUCAAGGAGUCCAGUCGAGUUCGUUAACCACUAAACCAUGAUCCACGAUUAGAGUUCUCAAUUUCUACAUGUCAUUACCACCUCCAGACUAUUACUCAGGAACAGGUCCUCUCUGUGGCUCACAGAGUUUCCGGAAAGAGAGGAAAAAAAAAAAAAAGAACUAUUGUACUAUUCCAUGACUCGGAGUUGCAAGCAUGUUCAACUAUGCCUCUUCCUUCACCCUGUCACAGAGUGCAGGUCCCAGUGGAAAUUAAUGAGGAGCCCUACUCUAGAGUUAACUGUACUAAUGUUUUGAAAACACAUAUUUCGAAGAGCAAACUCCCAAUUGACCAAACCGUUAAUACCUGCUUCUCAGAAAAUACCAAUCACGAUAGAAACUGAGGUUUGGUAAUACGCAUUCUGCACUAAAAUAUUGCUAUUCCUUCGGCAAUUAAAGGUGUACACCAACACAAUAAAGUUUUAAGGUGAUUUAAUUCAGUAACACACAGUCUUAUGAAUAAAAAUUAUUGACUUUCACUUAGCCCUAUUUAAUUAUUAAACUCAUUGCUAUAAAAUUAGCUUAUUGAGUUAUUAUUUCAUACAAGACUGAUAUAUAUUUCAGAUCAUUCUCCAUUUUACAAAAUAACUCUUUUCACAUAUUUGUAUCACUUUACAAGUAUUUCUUUAACAUUCAUUGAAUUACUGACUUUUAUAUAUUUAAAGAUUAAUUUUGCUUAGAUAACUUGUGAAGAACAAUUGGAAUUUCUGUUUCUAGAAAUAGUUUGAUUCACAUUAAUUAUAAUAAUGACUUACAUCAAUGUUAAAGAAAAAUAUUGAACAUUAUUUUGCAUUUGUAGUUCCAUUGUGUCUUUAAUGAAUUUCUAAAGUCAUAGUACCUAAAUAGAAUUUCACAAGGUACUGGGACCAUUUAAUAUAGAAAUAAAUUUACUUUUGUAUUGAAUUUUUAUUAAGCGUCUGUGGCUCAAAUUUUAUGUAAGAGAAUUCCUUGAACUAUGGAUUUCCAUGUUUUACAUACUAAAGUGACACCUAUGGAUAGAGAGCAAAUGAAUGUGCUAUUUAUAAUAAUGACUUUGUUUUAGAUAGUUACAUAAUACAUUUAUAUGACUUUAUUAUGUGAGUGGUUUAGAAGUGUCUUGUGUUCCUUUUACUUUGCUUGUUUUUAAGAAACUAUGUGUGUGAGAGUCUGCGUGUGUUCAUGUAUUUUUAUCUUCUCAAGUAUUACCUAAUAGCAUUUCAAGAUAUAUAGUGGUAAAAAUGUGCCUUAUAUUUAGUCAAUUCACAUUUCUUUAUGUAUACUUUAGGAAUAUUUGUUUUAAAAUGAUAUUCAACUUUUUUUGACAUAUUCAAGUAUAGGAAAGAAAAGUUUAGUGAAAGAUAUCGUGGAACAAUUUAUGUGCAAAGAGUUUAGAAGUUAAUUUUGCUUUAUUGACCAAAAUAAAAUGAGGGAACAAAGAUUUACUAGGGUGAAGAUAUUAAUUGGAACAGAAAAUAUAACUCUUUAUUCUGAAAUGCACCUGCAUGUUAACAACAGUUCGAAAAUCUGAAGCACAGAUUUUAAAUGAAUGUACAAUGAAAUUUUAAACUUUUUUAUUCCCCGUAAAAUCAUUUUCAAGGUGAAAUGGAAGUUAAGUACAUUUAAAGACUUUUGGAGCAGAAAAUAGAUUGACUUCAGGUGGUACUGGGUAAACUUUCAGUUUGUAAUGAAAUAGAUAUUCUUUACUAUUCAUGAUAAGGGUGAAUAAAAAUGAAGCACUUAGUUUAAAAAAAUAAACUGGAAAGAAUGUAACACUUUCACUCCUUAGGUUCUUAAGUCAUUUUUUUUUGUUGUUGUUGUUCUUUUGUUCUGUAAUUGAUUGCUAGCACCCCCUUUAACCCACCUUAAAGGGCAGCAGGAAAUUCAUGUUUUCGUUCAUCAGCCCAUCCCUCUGAAAGGCGUUCGAUAUUAAAACAGUUUGCAGGGAGCAAAAGCAGAGGAAACAAGAGGCCCAGCUAGCCUGUAGCAAGGUUAGAAGAUACACUGCAAGAUUGCCUGCAACAUUGCAUCGAGUCUUGUUCCUGUCCAGUAUUUGCAUGGAGAGAUCAAGUUAAUUAGGGUAUGACUGUUCUUCACUUUCUAUGUGACCUUUUAUUCUAUCUGUGGCUCUCUGGUUCAUGCGGUGUCAUAAAGCUAUGGGAAAGUCUUUCUAGCUGUUUGACACAAACUGGAAAAAAUUAAGCAUUGAUAUUUCCUUUUGCCUGAAGGUUUUUACAGCAGCAAAUUACUGCAGCGGCAAAGUUGAUGUUGUGGUAGAUUUGCUGUGGGUGUCAGAAUGUUUCUUUUGUCUUUUUAGCUCCCCGCCUUCCCUGAUGAUCAGGUGCGACCAAGUGAGUUGUGCAGAGAGGUGGGGGUGGGGGAGGGGGUUCAGGAAGAGGUUACAUGGCAGAAUUCCCACGAAUGCUGGCGAAGGAUGAAAAAGAUAAAGAAAUCUUGUUUUUCUGAACUAGAGGAUUCUCUGCAUGACUUCCCCACUGUUGGGGUGAUGAGCUUUCAGGCUAAGAUUUUAUUAACAAUUCAUAUGGAGAUUGAGGGCAGCGGAGGAGCAGAUUCUCACAUAAACUUGAUCUGUCCAUGAAUGCUGUUCUCUGUUUGCCCUGACCCUGCAUGGCUUAAGACACUGCCUGUGAGGCCAGUGUGCCAGACACAAAGAAAGAAAUGAAAAGCAAGCACAUUCCAGGAGUCUGCACAAAAGACCCAGCAGUUUCUAGUCGUCUCCCCAGAGAGGAUCUUAUCUCUGCAUGGCCAAAAACCUCUAGAAUGUUUUCAUUUGUGUACCCAAAGUUUUAAAAUUGACAUGGCCGUUUAUUAGGCAGUAGCCUAUAGCCCUGUUUUCUUAGGUUUUAAAGUUUUGUUCUCAGAACUUGUUGAAACUAGAAAAACAUAUGCAAGGGUGCAUUUUGUGAAGUUUGGCUUUAAAAGUCACUGGCCUUGAAUUGUUUUUACUUUGUUGAUUGGUAGGUACCUUGAAAAAUGAAUCCUUUUCAGCUUUAAGAGAAGCCAGAACAACAUUUUAAAGCUUGACUUGACUUCAUGAUGCCUUAUGACACUGCAACUCUGAAACUUGUGGCAGAGUUAAGGCGUGAGAUGAAAUUGACAUGGGGGCGCAAGCCAGCCACCCCCAUGCUCCUGAGCACAGACAACCUAGCUACAUUAAAGAAAGAAGCAAGUGAAAAGUUUGAGUGAGACAAAAGUGCAAGGGAGUCAGGGACUUUUAACGUUGUAAUAUUUCAGCAAUUAUUGGCAGUUCACUAUUUUAUCUAGAUGCAUUAAAACAGGAUCAUAACAAACUAUCACAAGAUAUUUCUUUGUAAUUUAAUAUACUACAUUUUAUCACCUAACAAAUGCACAUUCCAGGUGUCAGAUAUAUUAAAGUUUGGGGAUAAAUAUUUGAUAAACAUAAUUCGGUUGCUAAAUUACGUUUCCACAGAUUCUUAAAAAUUGGAAAAUCCAGAUACACAGACUCUUGAAUUUUGUGUAUGUGUUUAGCUGUUCAAGUUGUUUCAAACUUUUAUAGUUCAUGAAUUAAAUAGCCAGUAGAGGAAUGCAGGCAAAUGCUAUUAAUUAUGAUAGGCUUUGUUCCUUUCAUUUUAUAAUGGUUUUAUUUCCAUGAAAUUAACUGUUGUACUUAGGCUAAUUGUCAGUAAUUGGUGACAGAAUCACUUCAUUGUUUUUCUAUAGCAUGAUACUAAUUAGGAUCUUUGCAGUAUUGGCUCAGCCAUGUUCUAUAUUCUACC
rnacentral:lncRNA from 1 species